AUUGAACGCUGGCGGCAGGCUUAACACAUGCAAGUCGAGCGAGCGGCGGACGGGUGAGUAAUGUCUGGGAAACUGCCUGAUGGAGGGGGAUAACUACUGGAAACGGUAGCUAAUACCGCAUACCAUCAGAUGUGCCCAGAUGGGAUUAGCUAGUAGGGGGGGGAAUGGCUCACCUGGGCGACGAUCCCUAGCUGGUCUGAGAGGAGGACCAGACAAACUGGAACUGGUACCUGGUCCAGAGUCCUACGGACGGCGGAAGUGGGGAAUAUGGCACAAUGGGCGAAAGCCUGAGGCAGCCAUGCCGGGUGUGUGAAGAAGGCCUUCGGGUUGGAAAGCACUUUCAGCGAGGAGGCGUUACUCGCAGAAGAAGCACCGGCUAACUCCGUGCCAGCAGCCGCGGUAAUUC
rnacentral:rRNA from 1 species